rnacentral:rRNA from 1 species
UGCAAGUCGAGCGGAGUGAUGGUGCUUGCACUAUCACUUAGCGGCGGACGGGUGAGUAAUGCUUAGGAAUCUGCCUAUUAGUGGGGGACAACAUUUCGAAAGGAAUGCUAAUACCGCAUACGUCCUACGGGAGAAAGCAGGGGAUCUUCGGACCUUGCGCUAAUAGAUGAGCCUAAGUCGGAUUAGCUAGUUGGUGGGGUAAAGGCCUACCAAGGCGACGAUCUGUAGCGGGUCUGAGAGGAUGAUCCGCCACACUGGGACUGAGACACGGCCCAGACUCCUACGGGAGGCAGCAGUGGGGAAUAUUGGACAAUGGGCGCAAGCCUGAUCCAGCCAUGCCGCGUGUGUGAAGAAGGCCUUAUGGUUGUAAAGCACUUUAAGCGAGGAGGAGGCUACUCUAGUUAAUACCUAGAGAUAGUGGACGUUACUCGCAGAAUAAGCACCGGCUAACUCUGUGCCAGCAGCCGCGGUAAUACAGAGGGUGCAAGCGUUAAUCGGAUUUACUGGGCGUAAAGCGCGCGUAGGCGGCUAAUUAAGUCAAAUGUGAAAUCCCCGAGCUUAACUUGGGAAUUGCAUUCGAUACUGGUUAGCUAGAGUGUGGGAGAGGAUGGUAGAAUUCCAGGUGUAGCGGUGAAAUGCGUAGAGAUCUGGAGGAAUACCGAUGGCGAAGGCAGCCAUCUGGCCUAACACUGACGCUGAGGUGCGAAAGCAUGGGGAGCAAACAGGAUUAGAUACCCUGGUAGUCCAUGCCGUAAACGAUGUCUACUAGCCGUUGGGGCCUUUGAGGCUUUAGUGGCGCAGCUAACGCGAUAAGUAGACCGCCUGGGGAGUACGGUCGCAAGACUAAAACUCAAAUGAAUUGACGGGGGCCCGCACAAGCGGUGGAGCAUGUGGUUUAAUUCGAUGCAACGCGAAGAACCUUACCUGGCCUUGACAUAGUAAGAACUUUCCAGAGAUGGAUUGGUGCCUUCGGGAACUUACAUACAGGUGCUGCAUGGCUGUCGUCAGCUCGUGUCGUGAGAUGUUGGGUUAAGUCCCGCAACGAGCGCAACCCUUUUCCUUAUUUGCCAGCGAGUAAUGUCGGGAACUUUAAGGAUACUGCCAGUGACAAACUGGAGGAAGGCGGGGACGACGUCAAGUCAUCAUGGCCCUUACGGCCAGGGCUACACACGUGCUACAAUGGUCGGUACAAAGGGUUGCUACCUA